rnacentral:lncRNA from 1 species
UUUACUAGAUAGACGCAUUUUCUGCAGAAUAAAGACGUGAAAGCAAAAAACGGGCUGUUCUUAUUUGAAUUCGACCGCCAUAAGUUCUCUUUAUUACCGUCGGUGAGAUCCAUCGUUGGCGUUCUUGAAUGGCUUCAAUGGAAAUCAGCGCGCUACGGUUAGCCUAGGUAAGGUCGGAACGUAAUUACAGGACAAACAUGACGUGGUUCACAAAACGUACGUUCUAGUGAUAUCAUCGAGAUAUUACUGGCUAUAGAUUGGAACGAGAGAAAGAAGAAGGGUGCUUCAAAGUGUCUUCAAAGUGAAGAUGGGAGCGGCAGGUCAGUGUUCGAAAUUGAACAUGGUUUUUAGUGAUUGUUUUCUUUGCCAAAAGAUGGCUUUGGCAAAGACCGGAAAUUUGAUGAAGAUCGACAAAGGAGGUAUAAUAAGAAACAGAAGACACACCCAUAGUCAUAUAAAGGUGAUUUACGAUAUCUCGAUCAGUAGAUUGCUAUCUCGAUUUACAUUCCUUACUCCCGAAUACUCGAUUAUUGUGACCGAUACAACAACUACGGACUGCGAGCAUUGACCAAGUCUCUAGUUGCUUUUAUGCAACGCGCUUCUUCAAGCAUUUAGAAUCAGGGAUAAAAGUUCGUCGCCCGGACAAAACAAAGAUGGUGGAUAUGCGGAGUGUGAAAGACCUUGCCAAGGAUAUACAACAAUCGAUCAUCAGCAGACUCUCUCUCCACUGCAAAUGUCUCUUCGGCCCAUAAAAAAUUAAAGCUGUAGAGACGGAAAAAACGCUUCGUUACAGCUGGCUCACAGAAAAUAUGGCGAAUACACGUACGUUUCCAAAAUCGCCGUAUUACUUACGAUGAUACAAAAAUCGCAAAUAUAUUAUAUAAAUUAGAAUAAGAUAAAGAAACAUAGGACAAAAUUGUGUACGUUUUCUUUACGUUACGCUCUAUGUGUGCGUGAACGUCCGCACAUCGACAAAAACCACAGGGUGAUCCGUUGACGUUCACUCGUGUUACGGGAUCUGACCACCAUCUAAGCGUGAGGCGAACCUCCAUUGCUGCUGCUUCAAAAUCGUGGGCUGAAAUCAUAACUAAUAUGGCCAGGUAGUCGAGUCGGCUUAAGUUAGACCAACAUAAUGUAGUUCGCAAUUUAUUGUAAAUAACAAUUUGCAAACAUUUACCGAUUUCUCGAACAAACUAGUACAUUUAAGGAGGGGAGAAAGGUGUUUGGGGUUAGGACGGUAACCAUAUAAUUCAAGAACGUAUUUCAAAAAGAUGUAACUAAACUGAUGAAUAAAUAUAGGGUUUGUAGCGUCUCCUUGGAUGUUCGGUACGUCUUCUCUCUAAUGGACUUAGUAAAGCUAAUAGUGUCUGCGUGCUUAACGCUAGGGUAGAGUUCCGAUUUACGCAACCCUGUUUUAUUUUGGUAGUAAGCAGGGUCGAUCCACGUACAUUAUCUAUUAAACAUCAGCCGACGACCGACCCCGUUUACUUCUAUUCGAUAAACUGACCCUAUAUAUUAAACCUCACUAUAGU